UUUCUUUUUUUGUGUUUGCUCCCUUUUAGCUCACAGGUGAAUGAUAUGGAGGACCUCGACAGAGCAGUCAGCCAGCAGCCUUAGGAGUAAACAUGACAGAUGCUGAUGGACCCUGACACAGAGAGAUAAGCAUACUCCCAGAAUCUCAGUCUGCUGUCCGCUCCAGUGCCGGUUCUGCCUUUCAUUCCCACCGCACAAGCCACGCUGCAGCCCAUGAUCAGCAGUCACUCACAUCCAGAGCGCAGCCCGCUGAUAGCCUGUGGCCUGCAAAUAUGUGGACUCUUCAUCAUGUUAACUGGUAUCGGUUCCUCUGGUGGGCGGACCGGGCGGAAUCAAUUCAUCUGGAGAGGAUCGCAGGACAGCAGAUAGCACGCAGCUGAGCGUGUGCAGUUUGGAUAAAGUGACAGACGGUGAACUUAGUGGAGUGAGACAAUGUAUAGCUCCAGGCAGCAAAACUGAAUGGUGGGACUGUGACAGCUAUGCCGGCUCGGCUGCAGGGUGUGACGGCUGCACGGAGAAGACAGACACCUCGCAACUGGAGGCGCAGUAGAAAGAAUUAGCAGCUGCUAAUCAGAUCAGCGGGAGGCAGCUGUUCCCUCAUCGUCUCGAACAUCUGUUUAUCUUCUCAAACAAUUCAGGAAUUCACAAUAAGUCAGAGGGAGC